GGGAAAUCAGAUUUUCUGUUUGGAGUUGCAUUAUGGGAGAAUCAAGACAGAAUCACACAAGGUGUUCUCAACAAAUAAAUGGAAAUAAUCUAAAUUCUCUUGCCAUGUUCUUAAUUAUGGUUGCUUGAUUAGAGAAUUUGAACAAAUUUAUUGAUAAAAAUUAACAUUGUUUAAGCUGAACCUGCAUCUUUCUUCUUCACCACUAUAGGACUUCUUACAUUGUGCACCCCAUCUGACCAUACAAGCCCACCGAAUGCAUAAAAGUCGCUUGCAUUUUCCUCAGCCCUUAGUGUUACCUUGAAACUUUUCUCUUCAUUUGUCUUGUUGAAUUUCAAUCUCAUUGGUUCAACCUUAACUGUUAUUCCUUCAGGUGCAUUGAUGUGAGCUGUAUAUAAGCCUGGAGUUCCCACAUUCUUCAAGGUUCGCGUCAAUGUGACUUUCCCAGAGAGAUUAGGGACAGUGAUUGAUGGAUAGUUUAAGUCCAACAAACUACUGUUUUUGGAUGGACAGUUGUAUGGCUUAUCAGCAAAUGCUGACAUUUCGGUUGCAUUAUAGCCAAUGGAGCACAGAAAAUUCAGGUAAUCUUUGGUGGUUAAGUCAUAAACCAAGCCAGGGUCCAUUGCGCGGCUUGGCCGGAUAUGUCCUGAACCAUAGUCAAAUGGGUUUGACUCUUGAAGAAAAUCAGUGGCAAUCGGUUGUCUGACAUUACUCGUAGUUGUUGCUGAAACAUCAUGAACACCGGGCAAGAUUUGUUGUCAGUAUGUGAAAUCAACAGAGAGCAUAAUGGCAUAUAUAGUUAAAAUUGCAGUGACAUAUAUAGUUAAAAUUGCAGUGAGGUUCAUGGACUCCAUGCCUAGAUCUUUCCUGAAAUAGAGGUAAAACAAGGAGAGAAUAAUUAUUAGGAUAUUACCUGUGGUCAUAAUUGCAGACUUAAUUGCAGCAGGACUCCAUUCUGGAUGCAAGCUUUUGAGAAGGCCAGCAAUGCCAGAAACAUGGGGACAGGACAUUGAAGUACCAGAUAUAAUAUUGAAUGGAAGAUGGCGCUUGUCAAAUGAUUGAGAAGUAGGCCCUGAAGCUUCUGUAUAGGCAGCUAAAAUAUCGACUCCAGGAGCAGUGAUAUCAGGCUGAAAUUUUUAGUAAAAAUUUGUUAGGCUGUUUAUCAUGUCUUUAGGAGUAAAAUAAUAACUACUUACAGGCAUAAAGUGCCGAAUCUUUUUUUUUGGUAUAACUGGUUUCAAAUAGGUACUAAAAUUCAAGACCUCAUAGCCUUAGAGAUGAGUACAGUGCCACUAAUAGUGAUUCUAUUUUACAGUUGCUGGUGAUGAUGUGUUACCUUGAGGAUCUCUGGAUUGAUUGCAUUAGGUCCAGAAGAUGAAAAUGAAGCCAUGAUAGGAGCAGCCACAGCUCCAACUUCUGUAGCACCACUAAUAUAAGCUACUGGAUGCCUUGUGCUAUAUAUAUAAGCUAAAAUAGAAAGGCCAUCAGCUGCAGAGACAUGUGCAGUAGGAAGAAAGUGGGCUUGAGGGGAGAUCGUCGCUUGAGGUAACUGAUCAGCGAGGAUCACCCCAACGCCACCAGCCUGAGCAACCACCCAGCUCAUCUCAACACUUGCAUGAAGACAAUACACAAUUUUUCCUUUUACCUUUUCUGGAUCAAGGGAUUCAGGAGAACAGGAUUGUGCGCUGAGAGCAGAGACGUUGGCAGCUUUAGCAUCAACAGAGUAAACCAAGGGAUAAUACUUCCUAGCAGGCAAAGUAUUGGUAUUGAAACUCAGGCCCUUGAAUAGCCUGUUAUUUCCGAGGAUGACAUUUGAUGCAAAAUUCCGAUCAAUUGUGCUAGCUGCAACUGUGAGAAUCCAGGGAGCCACAUUGGAGACACGUCCACCUUGCCCCCCAGAAUUCCCUGCAGAGCAAACUACAAGAAUCCCAUUUUUAACAGCAUGGAAAGACCCCAUUGAAAUUCCAUGACCAAAGUAAUGGCGAGGACGACUUCCAAGUGAAACAGACAAGAUAUCAACCCCAUCCUGAAUUGCAGCGUCGAAGGCAGCCAAUACAUCAGCAUCAUUGCAACCUCGCCAGCAAACCUUGUAGGAAGCAACUCGGGCAUUAGGUGACCCUCCCUUUGCGGUUCCAUUGGCUGAACCCAAGAAAUUAGCUCCUGAAACAAAGCGUCCACCUGCCGUAGCGAGAGUGUGGGUGCCAUGACCAUCAGUAUCUCGCGCAGUGUUGUAGGAUGGAUCAAGGGGCUGGCCUAUAGAAGCUUGGAAGCCCUUGUUGAAGUAUCUUGCACCAAUAAGCUUCCUGUUACAUUUAACUCUAUCAUUUGUAUCACAAUAUCCUUUCCACUUUGAUGGAAUAGGUCCCAUCCCUUCAUCACUGAAGCUUUCUGACUCGGGCCAGACACCAGUGUCAAGAUUUCCAAUAAUUACAUCUUCACCAAAUCUUGCCUUAACCCAGAUAGAGUCCGGUGGAAUUUUUCCAUUUCUCUCUAGUCCAAGAAACUCCCAUGAUCUUGUCGUAUGCAAUUCACUCUCUUCAUUAGGAAAAAUUGAUGCCACUUCUGGCCGCUUUGAGAUUUCAUCAACUUCUUCAUCUUCAAGUGUUGCAGCAAAUCCAUUGAUAUAACUUGAGUAGGAAUAAAAUAUUGCUUCUUUUGCCUUCUCCUUGCUUUUCAUGCAAGAACCCAAUAACUCAUGGUAGGACUCGGUCUUUUUACUGAUAUCCAAUGCAGAAGAAGAUUCAGAUCCAUGAGAAUUCCUCCCCAAAUACACCACAUAAGACUUUUUGGCAGCCUGUGUUGGACUCUGCAAGGAAGAGAAAAGGGAAAAGAGAAGCAAAAGAGAAAUACAUGAAUGGCUACGGAUCCUCAUCUUUCAGCUGAUCCGCUAAAACCCACAAAUUAAUUCACUAUAUAAGAGGACAGCUUGCUCCAUUUUAUAUAUUUAUGACUCUUGUUGAGAAGUCUAAGUUAUGGACAGAUCUAGAAGAAAAUAAUAUUUUAAAUAGAUUGCAGCACACCAACGCCAAGCAAUAUUAAAUCAAUUUCAAUAAUAGUCCAAUUAUGACCUGAUCACACUACUAGACAGGCAAAUCAAGGAGGAGAACAAUUCAUCUUAAUUUGGUUAAAAUAAAGAAUAUGAAAACUCCUCUCUUUAAAAAUUUUCUCUUCAGAAAUUCUCUAAACUUAUAACCAGAUAUAAAAGAGGGAAUGCUUCUUAUUGAUGGCAUUCUUU
rnacentral:misc_RNA from 1 species